GGGAAUGUGGCUCAGGGGUAGAGUGCUUGUCUUCCAUGCAUGAGGCCUGGGGUUCAAUUCCUCAGCACCA
rnacentral:tRNA from 1 species